rnacentral:rRNA from 1 species
CCUACGAGAGGCAGCAGUGGGGAAUAUUGGGCAAUGGGCGCAAGCCUGACCCAGCAACGCCGCGUGAAGGAAGAAGGCUUUCGGGUUGUAAACUUCUUUUCUCAGGGACGAAGCAAGUGACGGUACCUGAGGAAUAAGCCACGGCUAACUACGUGCCAGCAGCCGCGGUAAUACGUAGGUGGCAAGCGUUAUCCGGAUUUACUGGGUGGAAAAGGCGUGUAGGCGGGAAAGCAAGUCAGAUUGUAAAACCAUGGGCUCAACCUGUGCCCUGCAUUUGAAACUGUUUUUCGUGAGUACUGGAGAGGCAGACGGAAUUCCUAGUGUAGCGGUGAAAUGCGUAGAUAUUAGGAGGAACACCAGUGGCGAAGGCGGUCUGCUGGACAGCAACUGACGCUGAGGCGCGAAAGCGUGGGGAGCAAACAGGAUUAGAUACCCGAGUAGUC